UUAUUCUUGAGUUCGGAUCAUCGGUCGCACUUUCCUGCGGCCACUCCAGCACAUCCAAAUCGAUGUCGUUUUACUUAAUUUUUUUUUUUCCUUCAAAUUUUGAGUUUCCUCCCCUUUUUUCAGUUCAUCACUUUCAUCUGUGUUUAGCCCUAACACAGAAACGAACUGAGAGAUGCGAGACAAAGAGAGAGAGAGCGGCAGAGAGACAAACUGAGAGAGACGGAGGAACGCAACGGCGGCAAGAUGAGAUUGCGACCAUGACGAGGUCCAUUUCAUCAUCAUUGUCAUUUUUUGCUGUUAUGUACAAGUGAAUGAACAUAUAUAUAUAUAUAUAUACACACAUACAUAUCUGUGAGUGCGAAUGUGGAAAAAUGAAGGAUUGAAGGACUGACCAUUCGCGGCAAAAUUUCAUGGUACUCAUUUUGAAAGUCUGAGAUUGAGAGAAAGAUAUGGAGACUUGGGUUCUUUUCUCUACCUUUGUUCAAACCUCACUUGCUUUGCUUGUGCUUUUCCUUCUCUAGCUCUAAUGGUGGUUCUUCUAGAUGGGGUUAUUAAUCUAAACACUUGCGAUAUAACUGGAGGUUUGGAGACAAGUCAACAAUUUAGGUGGGGGUUUGGGCAGAUGCUAUCAACUUGUGACCAGCAAGAAGAAAAUGAUGUUUGAUGCUUUAAAUUAUUAGAUUGGCUACUAAUUGAUGGAUGGGAAUUCAAUCGAGCUAAUUAGUUUUUGGUUUGUUAGAAUUAAUGUUUUGGUGGUGUUGUUUAGUCUUUUUUUUUGUUGUGUAUGGUAAUUGAUAUGUUGCCUUCUAGCCAACUGGUCCUUUCCUCCAAUGAAAUUUUUAAUUGGGUGAUGUUUUUA